rnacentral:rRNA from 1 species
GUCUACGGCCAUGCCACCCUGAACACGCCCGAUCCCGUCUGAUCUCGGAAGCUAAGCAGGGUCGGGCCUGGGUAGUCUUCCCACCUAGGAAGACCUGGUGCAGUAGGCG